AUUUCCUUAAUCCCUUAAUCCCACCCUCCCCCCUCCUUCCCUCUUUCAUCCUUCCCUCUCUCCUCCCUCCCUCCCUCCCUCCCUAAUUCUCCCCCAGUCUCCCUUCCUUCCACCCUGAGAUGGCACUUGAGUGCAUGUAGUGGUUCUUAUGGUUACAUAGUUUGCUAAUCUGCAGGGUAAAGGGAAUAAUAUGGAACUAAUUUAUCCAUUUUGUUUACAUGAAAGAUGCCAAGGGAAUGAAUUUUUCUGAGAACAGCAAUUGUGUUGUGUCUUCAAGGUAAUGUGUUUCAUGAGUAAGGAGACAGCCUUGGAAUAAAUAGGCAUACACUGCAGCUGAUCAGAUGAGGACCCAAGAGCAGACUACAAAUUCGCGUUAUCUGAUGAUCAACCUGCUUGUUGUAGAUAACACCUGCAAAAUAGCACUGCACAUAAGAAGCACCCAAUACAGCCCUCAGAAUAAUUGGAAGAGAAUAAUUUUUGGUGUGAAAUGUCUUCGAAGUCAUCUUCUGGAGAUUCAUUUUGUCUGACAGCAAACUAGCAUGGAUGCAGUAUGGAUGCUGGAUUGACAUCAACACGAAAGACAAUUGCAAACAAGUAAUUUAUGGUGAAUAUAUAUCUAAAGUUAUCACCCCCUAGUUCCCUGUAAGCAGAUAUGAUAUUAUUAACUGGGACACACCAUUACUUU
rnacentral:lncRNA from 1 species